rnacentral:rRNA from 1 species
UACAGAGGGCCCAAGCGUUGUUCGGAUUCACUGGGCGUAAAGGGUGCGUAGGCGGUCGGGUAAGUCUGAUGUGAAAUCUCACAGCUUAACUGUGAAACUGCAUUGGAUACUAUCCGGCUCGAGGAAUGGAGGGGAGACUGGAAUACUUGGUGUAGCAGUGAAAUGCGUAGAUAUCAAGUGGAACACCAGUGGCGAAGGCGAGUCUCUGGACAUUUCCUGAUGCUGAGGCACGAAAGCCAGGGGAGCAAACGGG